UCCGCCUGGUUUUUUAAAAAACAUCGCCUCUUGCAAAAUAAAUGAAUAAGAGGUCCCGCCUGCCCUGUGACUAUAUGUUCAACGGCCGCGGUAUUUUGACCGUGCGAAGGUAGCGCAAUCACUUGUCUUUUAAAUGAAGACCUGUAUGAAUGGCAUCACGAGGGCUUAGCUGUCUCCCCCUCCCAGUCAAUGAAAUUGAUUUUCCCGUGCAGAAGCGGGAAUAAGAACAUAAGACGAGAAGACCCUAUGGAGCUUAAGACGCCAGGACAGCUCAUGUUAAACACCCCAGAACAAAGGGAAUAAACUUAGUGAAACCCUGCCCUAGUGUCUUUGGUUGGGGCGACCACGGGGAAAAACUUAACCCCCAUGCGGAAUAGGAAUACUAUUUUCCUAGACUCAAGAGCUCCCGCUCUAAUAGACAGAAUUUCUGACCAAAAGGAUCCGGCAAUGCCGAUCAACGGACCGAGUUACCCUAGGGAUAACAGCGCAAUCCUCUUUAAGAGUCCCUAUCGACAAGAGGGUUUACGACCUCGAUGUUGGAUCAGGACAUCCUAAUGGUGCAGCCGCUAUAAGGGUUCGCGGUCGUAGAUAGUC
rnacentral:rRNA from 1 species